rnacentral:lncRNA from 1 species
GUUGAGUACUCAAACACUAACCAAUUAUUAUAGUAGACUAUCAGCUUCCUAUAAGCGAAACAUCACCGCUCAAUGUGCGUAUCGGAGUCCCAGGCCUCUGCCAAAAUCCCAGCUACAAGUAUUACUGCGUCUAGAACACGCAGCUAGAAGCCCCAGCUACAUGUGUAUUAGUGCGUGUAGAGCACGCGGCUAGAAGUCCCAGCUACAUUUGCAUAAGUGCGUGUAGCCAAUGAUUUUUUAUCGCUCCAAACCGGUUUUGUCUUAAUUCACACGGACACUGCAAGUAAUGUAUGUGUUGGUGCGCUGACUUUCUGAACUGUGAUGGGGCUUU